CCCUUAGAUGUUCUGGGCUGCACGCGCGCUACACUGAUGCGCUCAACGAGUUUACGACCUUGCCCGGAAGGGUUGGGUAAUCUUUUUAAAACGCAUCGUGAUGGGGAUAGAUUAUUGCAAUUAUUAAUCUUUAACGAGGAAUUCCUAGUAAGCGCGAGUCAUCAGCUCGUGCUGAUUACGUCCCUGCCCUUUGUGCACACCGCCCGUCGCUACUACCGAUUGAAUGGUUUAGUGAGGCCUUCGGAUCCGCGACUCGUUUUGUGGAGAAGUUGGACAAACUCAGUCAUUUAGAGGAAGUAAAAGUCGUAACA
rnacentral:rRNA from 1 species